rnacentral:rRNA from 1 species
GAUGAACGCUAGCGGCAGGCUUAAUACAUGCAAGUCGAGGGACAGCACAGGUAGCAAUACUGGGUGGUAACCGGCAAACGGGUGCGGAACACGUACACAACCUUCCUUUAAGUGGGGGAUAGCACAGAGAAAUUUGGAUUAAUACCCCGUAAUAUAGUUUAAUGGCAUCAUUUGAUUAUUAUAGCUACGGCGCUUAAUGAUGGGUGUGCGGCUGAUUAGAUAGUUGGCGGGGUAACGGCCCACCAAGUCUAGGAACAGUAGCGGAUGGGAGAGCAUGAUCAGCCACACGGGCACUGAGACGCGGGACCGACCCCGACGGGAGGCAGCAGUAAGGAAUAUUGGUCAAUGGACGCAAGUCUGAACCAGCCAUGCCGCGUGAAGGAUUAAGGUCCUCUGGAUUGUAGACUUCUUUUAUUUGGGACGAAAAAGGGCCUUUCUAGGUCAACUGACGGUACCAGAUGAAUAAGCACCGGCUAACUCCGUGCCAGCCGCCGCGGUAAUAC